AUAUUGGACAAUGGGCGCAAGCCUGAUCCAGCCAUACCGCGUGAGUGAAGAAGGCCCUCGGGUUGUAAAGCUCUUUUGUUGGGAAAGAAAUCCUGCCGGUUAAUACCUGGCAGGGAUGACGGUACCCAAAGAAUAAGCACCGGCUAACUUCGUGCCAGCAGCCGCGGUAAUACGAAGGGUGCAAGCGUUACUCGGAAUUACUGGGCGUAAAGCGUGCGUAGGUGGUUGUUUAAGUCUGUCGUGAAAGCCCUGGGCUCAACCUGGGAAUUGCGAUGGAUACUGGGCAACUAGAGUGUGGUAGAGGGUGGCGGAAUUCCCGGUGUAGCAGUGAAAUGCGUAGAGAUCGGGAGGAACAUCCGUGGCGAAGGCGGCCACCUGGGCCAACACUGACACUGAGGCACGAAAGCGUGGGGAGCAAACAGG
rnacentral:rRNA from 1 species